AAUCGUUCACGACCGACUCAACACUGGCUCGUAGCUUCGCCCAUGGUGCACCUGAGAUAAUUAGCAACGCUGCCUCUGUAUUUUCCAUCUCCCAAUUAUAGCACCUACGUUGUGCAUGACUGCUAGUUGACAAACGCAACAAAUUAGAUGCUGCGGACGGGGAAUGGCGCGAGCUAAGCACUGUUAUCAUCAACUGAAAGCGCAAAAUGAUUGAGAAAAGACGGAGACUGGUGCUCGCAUAGCACUUGUUAUUUUCGGCUUUGAAGCUGCCGAACUCCAGUCGAAGAAAAGAUUGACAAAUUAUGAUGCCGUCUUGGUUGUGUUCAUUGGUGGUGAUGUCAAACAUGGCACCCCCAUCGCCCGGCACGAUGGUGUACUCCACUUCGGCGUUUUUGCCCACGUCCAAGUCAUGGGCUUUGAUUCUUCCCACUGCCGAUCCCACCGCCGAAGACUCGGGAACACGUAAGUGGAAGAAACCUGAAAACAAAUAAAACCAGUAAGCCAUUAGAGCAAAUCUUUUAAGCACGUGGAGAGCACAUCAUCUUGUAAUGUUAAGAUAAUCAAAUAUGAACCUGUGAGGAAGAAUCUCACAACAAACAGACAGCAAAUUGAUUUCUCAGCUCGGAGAAAAAAAACAUCCUGAUUAAAAUUAUUCUCAGACAAGCAGCUGUUGACGGAAUUCUUCAGUUUGAUUUUCUACCAAAUUGAAUGUAAAAGUACUAAGUUGAAGUAGAAUCAUUGGUUGCCAUUGAUAU